UCAAGAUGGAGCAGGGUAUAGAGAAGCCAUUAGGGAUGAUACAGAACACCACCAAAGGAGCUCCUUCUGGGAUUCUCUAUUGGCUGAACUCAGCCAGAAGCUGCCAAGGGAGACCCCCACAACUGGAUGCAGCCCACUGAAGUCAGCUUCCUGGGGUGCGUAGCUGAAGGUAGCAGGGAGCAAAAAGAAUCUGAAGGGGAAGUGAACAAUGUAGAGCGUAUCUGUGCUGAAGACGUAAGGAGAGAGUGGAGGUCAGAAGCUGGCAUGGUCCCUGGUGCAUGUAUCAGCCGCUAAAGUGGAGAGUAUGAACAUAAGCAAGAGGAAGUGAUGAGUAUCCCUUCCAGGAGAACUCUAAGAGGCAGUGAGUGAUUUGCUGGGCUCCCAAGCCCUCUGCUCUGAUGACAGCAAAGCCCCAAAUCAUGGUGCCUCCAUCAGUCGGGACCCCUCAGCAGAGCCAGCUUCACAGCUGGAGUGGAUGAAUCAGAACUUUCCCCAUGGGAGCAUUUAUAAAAAGGGGACACCCAGCGCAGAAGAUGUUUUCCAGGGAGAUCUCGGGGAGCCCAACAAGCCAAGAAGAGCAGAGCAAAGCAUUCCAAGGAAGGACUCUAAGUCUGCAACCGAGCACACACGAGCACAAGGAAAGACCAUGUGAAUACACAGCAAGAACGUGGUGCUCUGCAAGUCAGAAACAGACCCGUCAUCAGACACCAAAUCAGCCAGCACCUUGAUCUAGGAUUUCUGGCCUCCAAAACAGUGAGAAAAUAAAAUUCUGUUGUUUAAGCCAUGCAGCCUGUUGUAUUUCAUUAUGGCAGCCUGAGCAGAAUAAGACAGGUAUAUACAAAUGCAAAUUCUAUUAAGAAAUCUGUAUCUUUUACCC
rnacentral:lncRNA from 1 species